UCCAAAGCCAGGACUCGUUCCAGCCCUGGCCUCUGGAAGUGGCUUUGCCCAGGGUGAACCGCACAACCCGUACCUUUAGUGCUUUUCUUGGCGAUGUUGGGAGGGAGCGAAAGAAAGAAAAAUAAAUAAAUAAAGGAAGAAAACACAUAUACACAAAAACAAAAGCAGCAGGCAACCGACCCCGGGCCCACUCAUCCACGCACGCCUGCGAGGCGAGGCGCUCGGAAAAUAAGGGUGUGCUCCGAGUCGCGUCUGGCAGUGCAAGUCAUCACCGGGAUGCAGAGAGCGGCGGGUGCCGAGUCUGCGCACAAGGAGGCUGCUGGCCUGGGCUGGGGUCUCUGGCGACCCGAGCAGCCCACGCCCCCAGAAACUCCCACCUACUGCCGCGAGGCCGGGCUGGGGCGGCAGCUCGGUGCGUUGCCUUCACCCCGCGCCCUCUCAAAGCAAGCGCAGGGCUCAGCCCUCUAGAAAUGGGUUGGUGCCUUUUCAUCCGGGUAACCCAGCCCAGUACAGCUGUGGACCUUCGUCUGCAGUAAAACUAGGCCCCACUCAGACCCUGGAACCCCUCCGAGGACCCCCCCUCCCCAGACCCACCCUAUCUCUCCCACCAUCUUUUCUACUGUUUUCAUCAUAGAAUGCUUCCAAUCUUUUGUGAAUUUUUUUUAUUAUAAGAAAAAUCUAUUUGUAUCUAUCCUAACCAGUUUGGGGAUAUAUUAAGAUAUUUUUGUACAUAAGAGAGAAAGAGAGAGAAAAAAAUUUAUAGAAGUUUUGUACAAAUGGUUUAAAAUGUGUAUAUCUUGAUACUUUAACAUGUAAUGCUAUUACCUCUGCAUAUUCUAGCUGUGUAGUUCACCUUACAACUGCUGUUUCCCCUAUGUGGUUUUUGUAAAGAACUCUCCCCAUAGGUGAGAUCAGAAUACUGCCAGAUGUACUUCAGCACCAAUGUGUCUUACUUUAUAGAAACGUUGCUAAUGUAUUAAUGAUGUUAUUAAAUCCUGUUCAUGAAGAACAAAGUUUAUUCAGCUACUGUCCAAACGAAAAAGUGGCAGCCAGAUGGUUUUGAUAGGGUUGCCUUUUGGAAAUUUCUACCACUGCCUUUUUUUUUUCUUACUGUUUUAUUACAAACUUACAAAAACGUG
ensembl:lncRNA